rnacentral:rRNA from 1 species
AGUGAACGCUGGCGGUAGGCCUAACACAUGCAAGUCGAACGGCAGCACAGUAAGAGCUUGCUCUUACGGGUGGCGAGUGGCGGACGGGUGAGGAAUACAUCGGAAUCUACUUUUUCGUGGGGGAUAACGUAGGGAAACUUACGCUAAUACCGCAUACGACCUACGGGUGAAAGCAGGGGAUCUUCGGACCUUGCGCGAUUGAAUGAGCCGAUGUCGGAUUAGCUAGUUGGCGGGGUAAAGGCCCACCAAGGCGACGAUCCGUAGCUGGUCUGAGAGGAUGAUCCGCCAAACUGGGACUGGGACACGGUCCAGACUCCUACGGGAGGCAGCAGUGGGGAAUAUUGGACAAUGGGCGCAAGCCUGAUCCAGCCAUACCGCGUGGGUGAAGAAGGCCUUCGGGUUGGAAAGCCCUUUUUGUUGGGAAAGAAAAGCAGCAGGUUAAUACCCCGCUGUUCUGACGGUACCCAAAGAAUAAGCACCGGCUAACUUCGUG